CUGACUUAUUGUCUGACUUGUCUUGGGCAUGGAAAACCAGGAUUGGAGAACUUGAAUCUCACUUCCCUUACUUUCCAUUCCCUCCUUCAGUGAAGUCGCAAGAUUAAAAGAAGCCAGGAGGAAUAAAUAGCAACAGAUCAAGGUGUACCAUGGAAUAUUGAACAAGGAAUGGUUGUUGGUAGCAAUACACCUGGAUUAAGAAAAAUAGCUUUAUGAAGUCAGGUUUGGGGGUAAGGAGAAAGAGCAAGUAGGGGUGGAGUGGGUAGUGGGGAAGGACGGAGGUGAGCCCACCAGGGAAGGUAGCAGUGGAGGGGAGAGAAGAGGAAUCCAUGACCACCCAUUUGCGAUCUACGUCAGCUCUUCUGCUCCCUGACCAGCUCAUGAGUCAAGGCAGAGGUUCUUAUUUUUGGUUUAGAAAGUGUUAUCGCCAGGUAUUCAGUAGGUCGCUUUGACUUCUCUUCUACCAAAACACUCACAAAAAGAAAAAGGAGUCAGAGGAAGGAGAAAGAAGCUUAAGUGAGGGCACUGAACCUCUCAAGAGGUUUGUAAAGGUCUCUGAAUGGACCAGAUUUGCCUUGACUGUGGCAGUGGCCAUUUUCCAUCAGGUAAUGAAUGACCAGAGAGAUAUAGAAACAUCACGGCAGCACAGCACUCCAAGCUAGGAUGCUGGAAUUUCCUCCAUAAUAUUUCUGAUAAGUGAUCUUCUAGCCUCUUGUUGUUGGGUCCUGUCGAGUUGAUUCCAACUCAUAGUGACCCCACCUGACAGAGUAGAACUGCCCCAUAAGGUUUUCUAGGCUGCAAUCUUCAUGGAAGCAGAUAGCCAGAUCUUUCUUCUGUGGAACCACUGUUGUUGUUAGGUGCCGUCGAGUUAUUCCAACUCACAGCAACCCUACGUACAACAGAACAAAGCACUGCCCUGUCCUACUAUCCUCACAAUCAUUGUGCUUGAGCCCAUUGUUGCAGCCACUGUGUCAAUCCAUCUCAUUAAGGGUCUUCCUCUUUUUCAAUGACCCUCUACCAAGCAUGAUGUCCUUCUUCAGGGACUGAUCCCUCCUGAUAACAUGUCCAAAGUAUGUAACAUGUAUUCUCGCCAUCCUUGAUUCUAAGGAUCAUUCUGGUUGUACCUCUUCCAAGACAGAUUUGUUCGUUCUUUUGGCAGUCCAUGGUAUAUUCAGUAUUCUUUGCCAACACCACAAUUCAAAGGCGUCAAUUCUUCUUUGGUCUUCCUUAUUCAUCGUUCAGCUUUCACAUACAUAUGAGGCAAUUGAAAAUACCAUGGCUUGGGUCAGGUGCACUUAGUCUUCAAGGCGACAUCUUUGCUUUUCAACACUUUAAGGAGGUUUUUUGCAGCAGAGUUGCCCAUGCACUGCAUCUUUUAAUUUCCUGACUGCUGCUCGCUUCUACGGAUGUUGAUCAUGGAUCCAAGUCAAAUGAAAUCCUUGACAACUUCAAUCUUUUCUUCAUGUAUCAUGAUGUUGCUUAUUGAUCCAGUUGUGAGGAUUUUUGUUUUCUUUAUGUUGAGGUGCAAUCCAUCCUGAAGCCUGUGGUCUUUGAUCUUCAUCAGUAAGGGCUUCAUGUCCUAUUCACUUUCAGCAAGCAAGUGAAGCCACUGAGUGGGUUCAAAUGGCCAAUCUUUCAGUUUGCAGCUGAGUGCUUUAAUCAUUGUGCCACCCAGGCUCCUUUUUAGCUUCUCGGGGGCUAUUUAUUUUGUUUUCAGGCUAUUCUAGUUCUCCCUGCUCUGUCCUUUACCACCCCUUCCCAUCCCACCCUGCCCAGUUUAACCCCUCUGCCAUGAGACACAUACUGCAGAUGUUUGAGGGUAGCUUCACAUGGCCUCUCUCUGCAGCAGCAAACACAACCCCAACCUGUCUGUCUUCUCUCCUCAGCAUAAGGACUUCUGGUCUCCUUAAUCAUUCUCUAUAUGUGUGCUGACAUUAAGUCCUGCAUAUUAACAUUUCAAAUAUGUGAUUUGUGCUCAUUUUAACUACUCCAUUGUCAGACCACAUGUCCCAGAUUUUCUUAGGAGAAAAGGUUGCUUUGGACUGACAAGCUCCUCCUUCAAAUUAUCCUAACUCAGACUCUUUCAUCUUGCUUUCUUCCUCCCCUUUCAACUCUUUACGACUUCCCAAAUACAUAGCACACAGACCUACAAGAGUUGCUAGCCUCUAAAGAAAUCUAGACAUUAUUCUUAUAGUACUGAGCAGACCUGGAAGACAUGAGUGACUAGAAUGUCUUAGGAGAGGGUACAAAUGUAUCUUAUAUGGUGGGGAAUGCAAGUUGAGAGGCAAUUAGGAUCUAAAGUUGAUAUGUAUGUUGGACUGGGGCUGAGAAGACAGGGGAUAGACUUGGAAUGGAAAUAUUGGGGAGCAAUGAGAAUGAGUUAACAGGCACUAACCCAAGGCCAGUGAUUGAAAGGUGAAGCAAUUUGAGGGCAGGUAAUGGAAAAUGUGGUUACUAUUGAGAAAAGAAAUAAUGUGACUAAAAAGGACAUGCAAUUUCUAAAGAAAUUGUAAAAGAGAGGCUGGAACUCUUCUGAGCCUGUUUUCCUAUCUGUAAAAUGGAGAGUACUAUCCAGUACACCAGUUGUUAUAAGGAAUAAAAAUAAAACAUGUAAAGAGCUUAAACCCAAGUUGGCACAUAGAAAGCGCUCAACUGGAACAUUUAAAAAAAAAAAAAAAACUUGCCAUCAAGUGGAUUUCCACUCAUGGCACACCCCUGUGUUUCAGGGUAGAACUGCUUCAUAGGGUUUUCAAAGCCUGAUAUUUUGGAAUUAGAUGGCCAGGCCUUUCUUCCGAGGUGCCUCUGGGUGGACUUGAACCUCCAACUUUUUGGGUAGCAGCUGAGUAUAUUAAUCAUUUGCAUUACCUAGGAACUCCCCAACUGGCUCAAAGGCAACUCUAUUCUUGUGAGGAGUUGGGAGACUGAAACAGAAGGAACAGCUAAGAAGCUCUCCCAGUGGUAAUAAUAACAGCAACAUUUAUCAAGUGCUCACUGUGUGAUGGGCAUUAUUUAAAAAGUGCUUUACAGAAAGUAAUACAUUUACUCCUCAGAACAACCUUAGGAGGUAGGGACUGUUAUCCCUAUUUGUCAGACUGGAAACCGUGGGACCGCGCGGACAAUUUACUUGCCUCAUGUGCCACAGACAGGAUUCAAACGCACAGCACAGCUUGGAAUCUUGCACUCUUGACCACCAUACUACUCCACCACAGGUGUUCCAGUCAAGGUCAGGGACAGAUCUGUGAUCGGACAAACCGAAAAGAAAGGGAGGAGCGAACACCCAGCAGUAAGCAAGAGUCCGCGGUGUGUGAGUCAACAGUCCCGGAUGAAGAUGGUCCGCUUUUCCUCUCCCUGUGCUUAAUUCUCACUGAAGCCAGAGAGUGUGUUUAAUGCCCGUGAGGAUUCGGUGGAGCCGAGGAAUACAGGGGGAGGCGUCAGAUGGUGCUAAUACUGCAACGACACCGCGGUGGAAUCGUUCCUGAAGUUAUUACGCAUACAACAUUCAACACAUAUUUUUGCAGAAUAGUUAAUCAAAUGGGAAGAAGCACAUAAUGUUAGCUGAAAAUAAAGAAGAAUACUAAGUAGUAUAUGCAAGAUGAUUCUUAAAUGGCAAAAUUUAAGUGUAGAUAAAUGUGUGUUUUUGAAAAAAAUAUAACUCAUAUCAAAAAAAAGACCAGGAACUAAAAAAUAUAUGUAUAUUAUUAGUGGUCAUUUCUGGGCGAAACGACUUUAGGUAAUUUUUUUCCUUUAUGUUAAUUUGCAUUCUUCAAUGUUUCUACACUGUAUUAAUUUUAUAAUCUGCAAAACCUCAAAAUUUUUAAAAAGAAAAGAGACAUUUAGAGUUUCCGUUUUUCCUUCUCGGUGUGUUUACGUCUGAAUUAGAACUGCAGUUUCUGCUGUUUUUAGCCUUAUGGGGGCAGUAUUAGUCCCCAGGAUUUCCACAGUUGCCAUAUUAUUGGUAUUUUGGGGAGAGACUCAAGUGCAGGAAGAAGUGGGGCACUUCAUCUUUCACCAGCUGUUAAUCGUUUAGCAAAAGUACAUAGAAAAGAAUUGCUUUUCCUAUUACGUAGAAAAAGGAAGUAAGCCAGAGGACAGAAAGAGGGCAGACAGGAAUAAAGGAAGAGCCUUCAAAAGAGCCUUCCUCUCAGUGUUCUUCCUUGAUGAUUACUCUAGGGCUUCAGCCAGCUGCAGCCUGCGGCUAUGUUUCCAGCUGUGCUGACUGAGCCUAGGUGAUUAGUAUGCCAAGUACCCCACUAGCCCUUUUCUGGGGGACGUAGACUAGCCAGUAAGCACAGUAGAGCUGUGGAUAUGUUGAACAUCAAGUGACUGGGCUUUCUGGAUAACUUCCAGAAAGUUGAAGUUCUGCCUUUCAGUCACUGAAAAGAGGAAGUGCAUAAAACUGAAACCUAUAAAGCACUAUACUAAUGAUUUUGUGUGAGAUUAUUAUUAUUCCUCUCCUUGAGCUCUAAAACUUUAACAUUUAGCCACUGUUACUUUCAUAAAUGCAGUCGACAACUUUAUCGCUUAACAUAUUUUAAAGAACAUGAAAACAACAUUACAAUGACUUUAAACAAUGUAUUAGGACAAGAAAAGGGUUAUCCAUCAUUCAGCAAUCUGAUUACUUUCGUUUUUUAAGCUUUGGAGUGCUUAUGCCUAUAAAAAUAAGAAUAACAGAAAAUUUGAAGAAAAUAUCAUCACCCAAAAUUCCACUACCCUAGAACAACUAUCAUCAAUUCUAUGUAUUCUCUGCCAGGUUUUUUCUAGAAGCAAUGUCUUUAAAGUUAAAGUGUAGCGGAUGUAAUAAUUUUGUAAUCUGAUUUCCUUUUGUUUUUCUGUUUAAACAGAAGUAGAAGACGAUUUAGGGUAAUGGUUAAAUGUCCAGGCUCUGGAGCCAGCUGGGAGCUUCUUAAAGGGAUUUUCUUCUUUUUAAGUGGAAAAGGGAUGUUGGCCUGGAGGGAUAGAAAACAGGGGUGGAGGGUGAAGGAAGAACCUUUAAAAGAGCCUUAAAUGAUGUCGUGAAUUGAAUUGUGUCCCCCCAAAAUAUCUGUCAGCUUAGCUGGGCCAUGAGUGCCAGUAUUGUGUGAUUGUCCACUAUUUUAUGUGAUUUCCCUAUGUGUUGUAAGUCCUAUCACUACGAUGAAAUGAGAUGGAUUUGUGGCAGUUAUAUUGAUGAGAUACACAAGAUUAGAUAGUGUCUUAAGCCAAUCUCUGAGAUAUAAAAGAGAGAAGCGGGCAGAGAGACAGAGGGACCUCAUAUUGACAAGAAAGCGUUACUGGGAGCAGAGCACGUCCUUUGAACCUGAGGUCCCUGUGCUGAGAAGCUCCCAGAUCAAGGGAAGACUGAUGACAAAGACCUUCGUCCAGAGCUGACAGAGAAAGCCUUCUCCUGGAGCUGGUGCCCUGAAUUCAGACUUCUAGCCUUCUGGACUGUGAGAGAAUAAACCUCUUUUUGUUAAAGCCAUUCACUUGUGGUAUUUCUGCUAUAGCAGCACUAGAUGACUAAGACAAAUUAGAAUAAUACCUAUUUCAUAGGGUUAUCAUGAGACAAAAAUGAGGUAAUUCCAAUAACAUAUCAAAUACAUGACCUGGGACAUAGUUGCCAAUUCCGACUCAUAGAGACCCUAUAGGACAGAGCAGAGCUGCCCCAUAGGAUUUCCAAGGAGCAACUGGUGGAUUUGAACUGCUGACCUUUUGGUUAGCUGCCAAACUUGGGACAUAGUAAGCAUUCAAUAAAUGGUAGUUAUUGUACCCUACGGAAACCCUGGUAGCACAGUUGUUAAGUGCUACGGCUGCUAACCAAAGGGUCGGCAGUUUAAAUCUGCCAGGCGCUCCCUGGAAACUCUAUGGGGCAGUUCUACUCUGUCCUAUAGGGUCGCUAUGAGUCGGAAUCAACUUGAUGGCGCUGGGUUUGGUUUGGUUGGUAUUGUACCCUACAUAUGUUGUUACAUGGACUUUAUACUAAUUAUAUUAAUAUCAAGAUAAAAAAACCAAAACCCAUCGUAAAACCCAGAGUAGAACUACCCCAUAGAGUUUCCAAGGAGCGCCUGGCAGAUUUGAACUGCCAACCUUUAGGUUAGCAGUGGGAGCACUUAACCACUACGCCACCAGGGUUUCCAAUAUCAACAUAAGAUUCCAUCAAAUAAAUGUACUAAAUUUCUUUAAUCUAUUAUUGAUUUAAUUAGUUUUCUUAUGAUUUUUCAGCAUUAUAAAUAAUGCAGGACGUGGCUUUUCCUAUGCUUUAGAUUAUCUCUUGUGACUAGAGAUAAUUCAAUGGGCUUACUGUGUCAAUAAAUGUAUUUAUGGCUCUUGAUACAUUUUACUGUAUAUUGGUUUCUAAACAUGUUCCAAUUUACAAUGCCAUCAUCCAUAUUUGAAAGCAAUGGCUUUACUGCACCAUCGUCAGGAUCAAAUAUUAGAGUUAAUUUAUGUGUUUGUGUGUGUUUAUAAAAGUCAAAACCAGUGCCUUUGAGUCGAUUCCGACUCAUAGCAACCCUAUAGGACAGAGUAGAACUGCCCCAUAGAAUUUCCAAGGAGUGCCUGGCAGAUUCGAACUGCCGACCCUUUGGUUAGCAGCCGUAGCACUUAACCACUAUGCCACCAGUGUUUCCUGUGUGUUUAUAGUUCUCACUAAUUUGGUGGGAAGCUAAUAGCUAUGUAAAGGUAUUUUUGCUAGGACAGAGCAAAGCCUCUGAUAGACUGGCAUGUGCAAUUAGGAAGUGCUGCCCCCUAGAGGUCCUCCGCAUGAUCUGAGCUGACUAACUUCACUGUACAUAUUAGAAAGUUCCAGAAAUGUAUUCCCAUGGAAUCUUGAGAACAGAUGCCCAGAAAUAGCUCCUGAUUUGCAUUGAUCUAGGAACUCAGUGGGAAAGAAGUAAAAUUCAGGUCACAGAUGGGGCUCAGCAUGUGCAGAAAGUUUUGAUGGAAAAAAGAGAACCUCAGAAACAACAAAGCAAAGAACCUAGACUGCCGGAAGGGGCUAUAGAGUCUUUUGAGGAAAAAUCGUCUGUGAGUAAAGAUGUAUUCCACAGAGUGGUUCAGGUCAACAGCAGGGUCUGACUGCUGGGAGGAGCGUGUUCUUCUCUGCUCUUGUAAAGAAAAAGUAUGAUACGAAAAGUAGAAAUGUAUCCCCUGGGGCCCAACAUCUCUGCUGUGACAAACUUUCUCUGAAGGAGCUGGUCAGGAAAAGCAGGUGUCUCCAACCAGCUGAAGUGUGUGAGAAGUCCCAAAGUGGGUGCUACAGGCAGUGGUCUGUGGGCAGAAUAACCAUCAGUGAGGCAGGAUGGCUAAAACAGCAGCCACUGAGCCGGGACGGUGAUGUUUUGAGCAGCACUCUGAUUAUAUGUGAGACAGUGGGCCUGCCUGUAGCUGCUUGCCUUCUUCUUUCUGAAUUGCUGCUUCUGAUCUACUGUGGGCUUGUGAACAAGAUACCCAGUGUCGGAAUUGUGCGUAAAAUUUGAACAAAGAGUCUCUGAGACAGACGCUGAGGAAUUCUCAUAUGAGCAAUAUGCUUGAAGUGUGGUGCGUGGGAAUUAUAAAACCUAUUUUGAUGGCUUUAUUGUUUCUUUUCUGGUUCCCAGCUCUGUUCUAUGCCAAGGAGUUUGCCAAAUAGCUGACUUCUAUUUUUUAGGUUUCUUUGCCCUCAUCCAGGUUCUAGCAUAUAAAGGCACUACCAUAGUGACGUAGAAAAGAAUUUAGGCUCUGGAGUCAGACCUGAAAAAGAGCUGGGUUUGAAACUGAUCUUCAGAAGUAACUACUGUAUGUCCUCGUGAAAUUACACGAUCUCUCUAAGCCUCAGUUUAUUCAUCUGUGAAAUGGAGAUAAGUGGGGUCUCUUGUAAAGACAGGAUACACAUGUGAAGAUUCAAUGCACCAUGCCUGACAUCCAGGAAGAGCCAAAGCGUGUUGUCAUCAUUAUACCAAGAAGUCCCAGCAGGGUGAUGAGAGUAUUCACUCUUUCUCUUUCUUGCCUGGUGAUGAGUUGACCAUAUCAGGAUAAUAUAGCCAGCUCACUUUGCAAUGAGGAGUGGGAAUUAUACCCAGAGCAUUGCUUUAUUGAUUAUGAGACAAUAUCAACAAAAUGGGAAAUUUUAAUGAGUUUUAUAAAAUAAUGAUUUUUUGUGAUAGUUAAGGUUGGGUGUCAACUUGGCUGGGCCAUGAUUCUCAGUGGCUCCGCAGUUAUGAUGUAGUUUGGCAGUCGUAUGAUGAUGUGAUCACUUCCAUGAUGAGAUUUGAUAGAAUGUGAUCACCUCCAUGAUGGGAUCUGCUGUGAGUAGCCAAUCAGCUGAAGGGGAGUUUCCUUGGGGGUGUGGCCUGCAUGGAAUAUAAGUGGACUCUCUGGCAAGGCUCAUCAGCUUUUGCUGUGCUCUGGAUCCUGUUUGUCUGACCUCCAAUUCUUGGUAUAUGAGCUAAGAGCUUACCUGCCAUCUUGCCAGCCAAAUUUGGGAUUCAUAGGUCUUUGCAGCCUCUGAGCCAGAGCCCUGCUGUCUGACUUGCCAAUCUUGGGUUCUCCAGACCCUGGGGCUACGGGAAUCAGGAGAAGGCUCCAGCCUGGCCCAUGUUCCAGCCUCUACAUCCACAUGAGCCAUUCCCUUGAUAGAAACCUCUCUCUAAAUAUAUGUUUAUAUGCUCUACUCGUUUUGCUUCUGUAGAGAACCCAGCCUAAGACAUUUAGAAAAUGGGCAAGCAGAAAAUAUCCUUAUGUCACUUUAAUCAUAAACUGGCCCUCAGUAAGCAUGUGGCUUCUUAGAACAAGUCUUUUAACACUUAGUUGUACAAAAUUGAUUUCCCCUAAAAAACCUGAAGAUCAGAUCUUUAAAAGAGAUACUUUAAGAACAACAUUAAUAUUUAUAUUUAAAAUUUUCUUUCUCAAUUAUUUUUUAUUUGACUCACAGAUGAGGACUAAAUAUGCAUAUAUACUUUUAUGUAUAUUCAUAUAUACUUUUAUGUAUAUUCAUGUGUAUGUAUGUGUGGCAGUCUUAGUUUACCUAGUUAAACUAAACUAAAAUAAAAUAUAAUGCAAUUGCAUGAUAACCUUGGUGAACCUACCCCUUCAUACUGUGUCAGGAAAUGUAUGUUUGGGGCUCCAGAUUACCCUCCUUUUUUACCCCCAAUACCUUCUGUCUUCCUUACCCAGGUUCAAAGAGAGAAUGUGAGAGUGUAAAUGAUUAUAAAAUGUCUUUCUCACAGAACAAAGCACACAGCAGAAGAAAACACAUGUAAUAACCUAUGCAAAUGUGUAAUAAAGACACAAUUGUACACAAAUGUUCACAGCAGCGUUAUUCAUAAUAGCCAAAAAGGUGGAAACAACCCAAAUGUCCAUCACCUGAUGAAUAGAUACAAAAUGUGGUAUAGCUAGCUAUACAAUGGAAUAUAUUUAUAUGUAAUUACACAUAUAAGCAUAUAUACAUUUAUAUUUAGCAUAUUCAACUGAGUGAAUAUAUUAAAAUCAACCAGAUUGUACACUUUGAGAGUGAAUUUUAUAGUAUGUGAAUUAUAUCUCAAUAAAGCUGCUUUAAAAAAAAAGGAAAAAAAAAAAUCCACGACAAGGUUCUGAUAAAGCUUCUAAUUUUCUUUUUAUCACACCUAUAUACAAUUUAAGGAGCCCUGGUGGUACAGUGGUUAAAGUGCUCAGCUGCUAACCAAAAGAUCAGCAGUUUGUACCCACCAGCCACUCCGUGGGGAAAAGAUGUAGUAGUCUGAUUCCAUGAAGAUUUAUAGCCCUGGAAACACUAUGGGGCAGUUCUAUUCUGUCCUACAGGGUCAAUAUGAGUAGGAAUUGACUUGAUGGUAAUGGGCUUGGUUUUGGGGCAUGACGGUAUAUAAUGUCGCCGUAUAAGACUUAUACCAUUUUAAUAAAUAAUGUGAGGGUUAUUUACAUAAAGCCAACUUUUUCUGAAAACAUUUUUAUCUUAGAAAUCAGAGUUUUCCGGGAAAUACAGGGAAUAUUACAGCAAAUUUGCUCAAACCCUCUUGGAAGAUUAUGGAAAUGUUUGCACUCUCUGUUCACAUUCACCAGUUGAAGCUUCUGAGGCAAUGUUUGUUUUCUGAACAUUUAAAGCUUCCUGGAGAGGUUGGAAAAUUCUUAUAAGGGGUGAUGCCAAAACAGUAUUACGCAUUGACAUGAAGAAUUAAAGAGUGUGACUAAUGAUCUUCUACCAAAGCUGCCUCUAAAUUCUACCUCUGUUCUCUGCCAAUGUGUGUGAGUCUUGUUUUUUCCUAUGCCCAAUUUAUUUAAGCGAUGAAUUCUUCUAGAAAUUGAGAAACUGGCAAGCAAUGAUAAAACCCACUCUAAUAACAAAUUUAUUUUUUAUUGUUUUUCCAUUUGAUCCUCUUUAAGGAUUAAAAUGGAUAAUGCCAUCAGUAUACUAAAGAAAGGGAGGGGACAGAAAUAAUAUUAAAUACUCUAAGUUAUCCAGUGUUUUUAAUCUUAUAUGUAUGGCAGAUGAUAUUUUUAGACUGGGGAUCAUUUCUUAAUUAUCCGUAGUAAAAUUCCUACACAGAAAAAAAUACAUCAUGUGACUUGAUUCAGAGCUUAUUUGGAUCCCACAUUUAAUUAUACUUGUUGAGAAAGAAUAAAUUUCAAUCUAUAAAACAGAUUAGAAAUAAUGACACAAAUCUCCUUACCCUGCCAACCCGGUAUUAUUAUCCAUUAUUACCAGAUAUUAUCUAUAGAAUUCAAUGAGCUUUUCUGUUUCUAGCUCUUCUAAGAACAGAGCCUCCAGAACAAAACAAAAAUAAACUGAGAGGGAAAGAGAGAGAAAGCAUGAGAGUGACAAUGUCAUAGAUUGAAUUUCAUCCCCCAAAAAUAUGUAUAUCGAUUUGGCUAGUCCAUGAUUCCCAGUAUUGUGUGAUUGUCCACCAUUUUGUCAUCUGAUGUGAUUUUCCUGUGUAUUGUAAAUCCUGUCUCUAAGAUGUUGAUGAGAUGGGGUUAGUGGCAGUUAUGUUAAUGAGACAGGGCUCAAUCUACAAGAUUGGAUUGUGUCUUGAGCCAAUCUCUCUUGAGAUAUAAAAGAGAGAAGUGAGCAGAGAGACAUGAGGACCUCAUACCACCAAGAAAGCAGCCCCGGGAGCAAAUCUCGUCCUUUGGACCUGAGGUUCCUGCAUGAAGAAGCUCCUAGAUCAAGGGAAGAUUGAUGACAAGGACCUUCCUCCAGAACCUACAGAGACAGAAAGACUUUCCUUAGAGCUGGUACUCAGAAUUUGGACUUCUGGCCUCCCAAGCUGUGAGAGACUAGGUUUUUCUUUGUUGAAGGUACCCACUUUUGGUAUUUCUUUUAUAGCAGUACUAGAUGACUAAGACAGUGUGUCAAUACUUUGCAAACUCUUUAAAGUCAAAUGAGGUAAUUCCUUCCUGAGUCCAAAUAGUCUUCUUUUCAGCUGAUGUCUCCAAAGAAUUCUAUGCCCGGCAAUGGCUCCAAUGUGAGUGAAAAGCAAAGAGGGCCUAGUUUCCAGAGACAUCUACCUGUCCUUCCUGACUAGAGACAUCUGAAUCCAGGGCUACCUCCAACAAGUCUUCAUGACACAUUUUUAAACUUCUGCCUCAGUCUGAAGUCACUCCUAAUGGCCCCACUAUUGAUAUAAUGCCUAUAAUGACUAGGCACCCGUGACAGCUGGUCAAGAACUAAUGUACAGCUGUACCCACUUCUGAUACCCUGAAAUUCACCACAGUUGACUUCAUUUUGCACUAAUGAACUCUCUCACACCAUUCUAACAUCCGUAGUUCAUGGAACCCAUUGCUGUCAAGUCAAUUCCAAUUCUUGGUGAUCCCACGAAACACAGAGUAGAAAUGAGCUCCAUAGGGUUUUCUUAGCUGUGAUCUUUACAGAAUCAGAUUGCCAAGCCUUUCUUCCAUGGUGUCACUGGAUAGGUUCAAAUCGCCAAUCUUUUGGUUAGUAGCUGAGUGCUAACCAUUUGUGCCACCCAGGUGAUAACACUAUUCUUCCAUGCAGCAGGUCUCCUUGUUCCUAUUCUCACUAUACUACCUUGCUUGUCAAGGCAUACUUUUUCAAUGAACUUGAUUUCUCCACUACCCUGUUUGCAUGCAGUUUUGGAGACAUUUUCAAAGCUCUCUAGUAACAACCCACCACCCGUGGACUAAUGGAGCAUGCUAUCCAGGUCAUAACAGAGUACCUGUGUUUGUUGCUAGACAUUCUACAGACAGCUAGGUUGGCCUGAGUAGUGAGCCGCGGUGGUACAUGCAAACAGGAUACUGUUUCUCCCACAGUACAUCUACUUCUACAUCAAUUAUUCUUUCUCCAUGACUUCCCUGAACUUCCCAGCACCGCCAUUUCUCCAGUAUUUGAGUAGUACCUGGAAGAAUCAUGGGUGACUCAUAAGAUCUUCCAGAAUACCUUCCAGUGGCCCAAGACACAAAGCAUAAAACAACUGAGUGAGAAUAAUUCAAAUAGGAGACAAUAUUAGGCUUUCCUCCUAACACACAUAUCCCUCGCAUGCUUCUCAAACUAGAAGACCAAAGUAUAGAAGUCAUCAACUUCAUUGCCUUCCCAAGCCAACCAUCCCAGCCUAUGUGCUAUUCCUCCGACACUUACCGCUCUUUGAUGUGUUUAAUCCACUAAGGCUUCUCUUCCUACCAUAUCCCAGAGCCUGCCUCAAUAAUCUGAAUGUGCAAACUCAAGUAUAUUAUCAAAAAUACACCAGAAAGCUGGCAGUAAUAAAAAAGAUGGACAAUAACAAGUGUUAUUGGGGAUUUUGGAGACAUCAAAACACUCAUAUAUUGCUGGUCAGAAUGUAGGAUGUUGUAACCGAUCUGGAAAACACUUUGACAGCUCCUCAAAUAGUUAAAAAUAAUGUGACCCAGUAAUUUCACUAAUAGCCAAAAAAAUAGAAUCGACCCAUAUUCAUCAUGGAUGAAUGGAUAAACAAAAUGUAGUAUACCCAUACAAUGGAAUAUUAUUCAACUAUAAAAAGGAAUGAAGUACUAGUACAUGCUACAAUAUGGAUGAACCUUGAAAACAUUUUGUUAAAUGAAAAAUGUCUAAUAAAAGUCAUAAAAGGCCACAUAUUGUAUGAUGCCAUUUAUAUGAAAAGUCCGGAAUAGAUAAAUCCAUAGAAACAUAGAUUAGUGUUUGCCCAGGGCUGAGUGGAGGAAGGAAUGGGAAGUAACUGCUAAGGGAUAUGGGGUUUCUUUUUGGGGUGAUUAAAAUGUUAUAAUAUUAGAUAGCAGUGAUGGUUGCAUAACCUUAUUAAUAUACUAUACACCACUGAAUUGUAUACUUUUAAAAGAUUAAUUUUAUGGUGUAUGAAUUAUAGUAUAUAUACUUGACUUCCUGGUGUCAUGUUGCUCAGCUCUAACACCUAGUUCACUGAGAAUGUGGGCCAGAAAAAGAACUGGGAGCUCACCUCCUACCUAAGGAAGUCUUAAAAUGCAUUAAGACUGUCUACUCAUGAACCAAUGAACCAGAAAAUUACCAGUCCAAACAGGGCAAAAGUUAUAUCCAUUUAAAAGCCAACUAUGGGCAAUUAGCUCCUGUCUCAUGUAUUUGCAGUCUGCCUUCUCCUAUGUCUCCUCAACCCACCUGUGCUGGUUAAUCUCCGCUUGCCCCAGCCUCAACCUCAGCCUAUUAAUUACCUUUCUCCACCCUGAACUACGAGUUCUAGGGUUAACUUUUACUGGCUCAUCUCCUAGGCUUUCCUGCCUUUUGGCAUCCAGUUGUGUUUGGCCCAUGGGAAGCACCAGAGGUUAGAUUGGAGGAUAGGGGUGAAAAGAUUGGGAUAUUUAUUCUCCUGGUUCUCUUCCCCUUCCCCUUCCCCUUUGCCAACUCUUACCUAUGAUCUGGCAGUAGCUUCCUUCCUCUAGAGCUAUAGCUUCUGUCAGGCAAUUCCUCUUCCCCAGCUCUAACUCUUAUCAGACUCUACAUUUCCCUCCUUUUAUUCUUUCAGACCAAGUGAUGAUAAUGGCUUCCUGCUGUUGCUUGUCCCAGAUGCUUCACCAUCCUUUGCUGGUUCCUUUAAUGCUGCCCACAUCUGUUUCCUGCUGGGACAUUAGCUGAUAUACUACCCCUUUCUCUUUGUAUCUCCUUGGCUCUCUAAUCCUAAAACUUCUUGGUGCAACUUCCAAUACCCACUUCUGAAUUCCUUCCUUAUUCUCGAGGAAUAACUACUCUGAUGGGUGGGGAGUGGGAAAAGCAUUGCAUAUUUACAAUUUCUCUUUUUUUUUCUUUGAAUAUUAUAGAGGGAUGAAAGCUAUCUGGGGCACAGAUGCAGGGCUCCCUCUACCUAGGGCAUUAGUGUCUUAGAGGGACAGGGAUAGAAAGGGCUCAGUGGACAGUCUGGCUCUGCACCAAUGGAAUUUUUAGAGGCAGCCUGGUAUCCAAGUUGCCCUGAAGUACUUAGGGCCUCAGCACUCAACGAUUGUUAUUUCUAAACCCUGUAGUUUUUGUGAGUGAGGACUGGUGUUACAAAGACCAGGAAAAGAGUAAUCUUUAGAAAGCUAAGAUAGUUUAGGGCCAAGGCAGAGCCUGACAAAAGCCUACCAUUUUUUAAUUGUAUAAAAUACAGAUCUUCCAAUGCCAAAAGUUUAUGAUGAGUCGAACUCCCUAUCCUAGCCCAAUCAUCCCAAGACCACUGAAAAUAAGCCCUUCGUCAGGCAAAAUCGGGUUUAUUGAACCAUUGCAAUGAGGGAGACCACACACCAGAGGAACAGUGAGCUGUCUCACCAAACAAAGGAAAAGAGAGUUAGCACGCUAGAAUUCUGGGGAAGGGUAAAGUUUAGGUGACUUAAAGGGCUAUGUAAAGUGGUCAAAAUCACAUCCAAACUGUAAAGUAGACCCAGCACCUUGUUCCCCUGGAAACAAAAAGUUAAGAUAGAUGUGGAAUGUUGGUCCAAAAACACCUUAUCUGUGGCUCUGCACCUGGGUUGGAAAUUGAGAUGGCUUCUAUGUGUCAAAAGAACUUAGAUCCUCUAGACAAGAGUCGGUUGUUUUAUUCUUACUGAUAUAAUUUCAAACAACAAAAUUUCAGGCCAUCUGUAAUUUUAGAGAACACAGUUUCUCAGUGAGUAAGAAAGAAGAGGGCUGUUAUGACACUUUACAGCUGCACUGUGUCCUUGGGGGAAUAUAGUUUCCUGUUUACUGAGCACCUUGCUUUAUCUAUGUCUAUCAUUCCCAUCUGAUGAAUGGUAGGACAGCUUUUUACAAUGCAAACUGAUUUUUACUUUCUCACGCCCUUGAUGAGCUGCACUGGACAUGUAGCAAAAUGCGUAAGCAAGAAAUAAACUUUUGUAAGAUUAAGCUGUUGAGUUUUGUUUUUUGUUUUUUUUUAGCCAGAGCAUACCUUGCCUAUCCUGGUUGUCAGAGAAAUUUUUAUUUUAAUUAAGUUCUAUAAAAUGAGGCAAAGGCUUAGGGCUGAUAGCAGGUGGCAAAAAAACUGUUACUGGAGGAUGGAAGGAUGUAUAUCCAUAUUGUGCAGCGGCAAAACAUUUGGUAAAAUGGUCAUCUGAGGUAAUUUGGAAGGCACAUCAAGCUCAUUAUCAUUUUGUAGCCUUAGAAGAGGAGGUUGGAAAAUAGUGUUAGUAACCUGUGUUGGUUGCAAGCAGAAAACGGAAUACAGAAUGUCCGCAAAUUCAGAAAGAGGCAACCAUUUCUGAGCCCCAAGCAGCAAAAAGUAACAUUGAGAAAUGCUUGGAUGGCAAAGUCUGAUUAAAACUCAGCCCUGUUGCAAGGAUCCAUCAAGGGUACAGCCAUUGGACGUAUUAUUAAAACCUCUGUAUGGAUUAAUGUGGCACUUUCUUUUUUUUUUAAUAAUUUUUAUUUAUCUUUAAGUGAACGUUUACAAAUCAAGUCAGUCUGUCACAUAUAAGCUUAUAUACACCUUACUCCAUACUCCCACUCACUCUCCCCCUAAUUUGUCAACCUGCUCCCUCCUUCCAGUCUCUCCUUUCGUGACAAUUUUGCCAGUUUCUAACCCUCUCUACCCUCCUAUCUCCCCUCCAGACAGGAGAUGCCAACACAGUCUCAAGUGUCCACCUGAUACAAGUAGCUCACUCUUCGUCAGCAUCUCUCUCCAACCCAUUGUCCAGUCCCUUCCAUGUCUGAUGAGUUGUCUUCAGGAAUGGUUCCUGUCCUGGGCCAACAGAAUGUUUGGGGACCAUGACCGCCGGGAUUCUUCUAGUCUCAGUCAGACCAUUAAGUAUGGUCUUUUUACGAGAAUUUGGGGUCUGCAUCCCACUGAUCUCCUGCUCCCUCAGGGGUUCUCUGUUGUGCUCCCUGUCAGGGCAGUCAUCGGCUGUGGCCGGGCACCAUCUAGUUCUUCUGGUCUCAGGAUGAUGCAGGUCUCUGGUUCAUGUGGCCCUUUCUGUCUCUUGGGCUCAUAGUUAUCGUGUAACCUUGGUGUUCUUCACUCUCCUUUGAUCCAGGUGGGUUGAGACCAACUGAUGCAUCUUAGAUGGCCGCUUGUUAGCAUUUAAGACCCCAAACGAAUGUGGCACUUUCUAUUGGACAAAAUGGCUCAGGGUCAAAAUGAAAUAAACUAAAAAGGUGAGGUUUUCCCACCAAAGCCAGAUAGGCCAAGAAAGAUAACUGCAGUUGAGAGGAAGAGAGGAUGAGUGAGCAAAGAAAUACAACAAAUUCAAGAAGUAUGACUAAGGAGAAAUGAAAACAUAUGCCCACACAUAUGUGGCAUUACUCAUAGUAAUGUUCAUAGCAACAUUAUUCAAAAUAGCCAAAAAAGUGGCAACAAGCCAAAUGUCCAUCAGCUGAUGAAUGAAUAAAUAAAAUGUGGCAAAUCCACACAAUGGAAUUAUUUGGUUAUAAAAAGAAAUUAAGUACUAAUUUAUGCUAUGACAUGGAUGGACCCUGAAAACAGUAUGCUAAGCGAAAGAAGCCAGUGAAAAAGGACCGUAUAUUGUAUCAUUCCAUUUAUAUGAAAUGCUAUAUAAGGCAAAUUCAUAGAGAUAGAAAAUGCAUUAGUUGUUGUCUAGGGCUGAGGUAGAACGCUCCUUAAAAGCAAGGAUGGCGAGACUAUGUCUCACAUACUUUGGAUGUGUUAUCAGGAAGGACCAGUCCCUGGAGAAAGACAUCACGCUAGGUAAAGCAGAGGGUCAGCGAAAAAGAGGAAGACCUUCAAUGAGAUGGAUUGACGCGGUGCCUGCAACAAUGGGCUCAAGCAUAACAACGAUCAUGAGAAUGACACAGGACCAGGCGGCGUUUCCUUCGGUUGUACAUAGGGUUGCUGUGAGUUGGAACUGGCUCGAUGGCACCUAACAACAGGACUGGGUCCCUGGAUCAAAAGGAGUCAAAAUCAGACCUGAUACACACGAAACAGCAUCACCCCCAAUGAAGAGACCACCAUAUACUCCCAGAGGUACUAGACUUUAAGUCUGAUGCCCUAGAUGAGAGUUCUUGGCUGUCUUUCUCAAGGGAAUUCCUAGGUAGCACAAAUGGUUCAGUGCUGGGUUGCUAACUGUGGAGUUGGAAGUUUGAGUCCACAGAAAUGCCUCAGAAGAAAGGCCUGGCAAUCUGCUUCUGAAAAAUCAGUCAUUGAAGACACUAUGGAGUACAGUUCUACUCUGAUGCACAUGUAAUCACCAUGAGUCAGACUUGACUCAACGGCAACUGUUUGGUUCCCCCACCACCACGAUUCCAUGGCAACUUUGUGCGUGUGUUUUACUUUUAAAUUAUUUUCAUAGUCUCUUCUUUUUCUCUUUCUCCUGAAUUGUUGACCUUUUUUCCUGUGUUGUAUUUUGGCCCUAUCUCAAACAUGGAACCUAACUUCACCAGGCAUUGCCAGCAUAGGAUGAUUCCAGGUAGCAGAUCUCUACAGAAGUACUGAGGGAUAUCAAGUAGCAUGUUACAUUGCAGCACAGCAAACAGUAUAAAAUUGAACAUUAAACAGAAUGUCUCAGAAAGGGUACACAAGAAACUGCCAAUGGUGGUUGCCUCUAGAGAAGGGAACUGGAGGGUUGCAGUAGAAAGCAGGCUUUUAAUUUAUACCGUGAGCUUAUAGUCCCUCCUUAAGAAAACAGAUACAACUUACAAAAUUGUUUUAAAAAUUAUUCUGUUCUUAAAAGUCCCUUGGCUGUUCUCAUACUGAGAACAUUUCCUCUGGCUGCCCCCUGUAAUACCUCAGCUUCUUCCAUGUGGCUGGACCCUCUCCCUCCCUUCUAUCUUCUCUGCUCUGAACCCUUUAUUCUCCACACCUUUCUUUUUCAGUUCUCCCUUAACUGUAACUCUUCUUCGUUUUCCAGACUAUUCCCAGCGGAGGAGAGAAGGGGACGUUUCACCUUUCAUGUUCAAAGAGGCCAUUCCACUUUCUCGAUAAAUUAUGCCACCACGUAGGAACCUGCAGUUAAUUUUUAUUUUAAACACCAUAUUUUUCUCUAGCUGCUUCUUGUUGUUGGGUGCUGUCCAGUCAAUUCUGACUCAUAGCGACCCCAUGUGACAGAGUAGACCUGCCCCAUAGGGUUUUCUUAGCUAUCAUCUUUAUGAAAGCAGAUUGCCAGGUCUUUCUUCUGUGGAGCUGCUGGGUAGGUUCAAACUGCCAACCUUUCAGUUAGCAGCUGAGCACUUAACCGUUGUACCACAAGGGCUCUUUUCUAUAUAACUAUUAUUUCCCUCGUUACGGAAGUGUAAACUUAGGAAAAUCACAUUCUUAAGGCCACACAGCUAGGAAGCGAAGCACUGGAAUUCAAAUCCAGGUAUGGGUUCAAGCCUGCUCUCUUAAUUCUGUACUACUUUAAAUUUUUUGUUGCCAUUGAGUUGGUUCUUGGAGACCCCAUGUACAACAGAACGAAACAUUGCCUGGCCCCGCACCAUCUCCAUGAUCAUUGGUAUACUAGAGCCCAUUUUUGUGGCCACUGUAUAUUUUGAGUACUUCCCAACUAAGGGGCUCAUCUUCCAGCACUGUACUGAAAAUAUUCUUUUGUGGUCCAUAGGGUUUUCAUCAGCUAAGUUUUGGAAGUAGAUCACUAGGCCUUUCUCCUUCUACACUUUCUUAGUCUGGAAGCUCCGCUGAAACCUGUCCACUAUGGAUGACCCUACUGGUAUUUGAAAUACCGUGAUGCUGGUACCAGUGACAUAGCUUCCAGCAUUACAGCAACAUGCAAGCCACCAUAAUACAACAAACUCAAAGGCGAGCAGUAGACAUUAAUUAUUAUUGUCUUAUUUACUACAUCACUUUGUAAUAAUGCUUCUAAUGUUAAAUUGUAGUUAACUGUUCUCUUCACUUGAUUAUGGACUUCUUACAAGGAGCAAAAGCCUUCUUCUUCAUCUUUGGAUGCUUGAUGCUUAUUUAUCUCAGAGUCUGACACAGAGUCAUCUGGAAACUGAAGGCACUGCCAAGAAUUGGGCCAAGACCCAGCUCAGGGCUUAGUCUGGGAUGGCACUGUGAUGGAGUCCAUGUAGUAACUCAGCAUCUACCCUAUUCCAUGCUCUGGAAUAGUUUCUGGGCUGCAGGGACAAAAAGCACAUAAUCUCCAAACUCAAGAAGCUUCAGCCUAUUGGGCCAGCUAGACAGUGAGCCUUAGAGAACAGUCAGACGGGCUUGGAUAGAACACAAGUUACCAUAAUAACCCAGAAGGAAAAACAAGCCAGAGGUUAGGGGAGACCUUUGGAGAAGGUGGUGCCUGAUCUGAGCCUUAGUGAACAAAAUGGAGAUUAUCUAUCAGAAGAACACGAAACAACGUUGCAGGCAGAAGGAAAAUUGUAUACAAAGGCAUGGAGGUGUAAGAUUGUGUUAGGUUUUGGGAGCUGGAAAUAAAUGUUUGUAGUUGGAAUAUGGAAUGGGGAGUGGGAUACUGCUAUGACAUGAGGCUGGGGAGUGGGAAAAGUCCCAGUGAUGAUGGGUCACAAAGAAGAUUUGGAACUUUGUGCUGAUAGUUGCAGUAGGAAGCCAUUUAGAGUUUUGAAUUUUUUGUUUGCUUGUUUUGUUUUUUAAUAUUUUAUUGUGUUUUAGGUGAAAGUUUACACAGCAAAUUAGGCUCCCAUAUAACAAUUUUUAUACAAAUUGUCCCAUGACAUUGGUUACGUUUUUCACAAUGUGUCAGUCAGCAUUCUCGUUAUGUCCAUGCUAUUUGUUCUGUGUCCGUUAAUCUAGCUUCCCUAUCCCUCCUUACUGUCUCAUCUUUGCUUUAGGGUAAAUGUUGACCGUUUGUCUCAUAUAGUUGAUUAUUUAAGGGAACACGGUACUCACAUGUGAUAUUGUUUAUUUCAUAAGCCAAUCUAUUAUUUGGAUGAAAGGUGAUCUCUGGGAAUGGCUUCAGUUUCAAGUUCAAAGAGUAUCUUAGGGCAAUAGUCUCAGGGGUUCCUCUAGUUUCUGCUGGUCCAGUAAGUCUGCCUUUUUUAGGAAUCUGAGUUUUGUUCUACAUUUUCUCCUACCCCUUAGGGUUUUAAGAAGAGAACUGAGUGAUCAUUUGUUCUGUGGAAAAAUUAGUCUGACUACAAUUUUGGGAAUGGAUUGGAAGGAGCAAUCCAAAGGUGAAUUCCAGAAGUGCCAGUGGCCUGAAACUAUCUGAGAAGCAUCGCUAGCCAAAAACUUCCAGAAGGGCCCUGUCACUCAGGGAAUACAGCACAGAUGCCAGAAAUGGAGGCUGAAAGCCAAGCCCAACAGUCACAAGGAAGCUAGUGUCAGAGAAUCGCUGCAGAGGUCAAAUGCAGUGUCCUGGACCAGGCUGAGCAGGAAGGCAGAAAGUGGGUCCCAGUGUGGGGCAUGAGUUCCAAGACUGGGUCUUUGGAGGACCUGCAGGACCAGCAGCAUCAUAGAGGAAACCUCAAAGCAGCAAGGCAGGACCAGAAGCAGCCAACCUUCGGUACCUAUUUUGUACCCAAUGUAGCCUUUUUUCUUCUGCUAUUGAACUACAUUGAGAUUUUGAGUGAUUAUUAAUUCAACAAUUAUUCAACGACUUAAAACUUGGGGCACAGAUACCAAUAAUUGGUAGGGGUAUUAGAAGGCACCUGCCUUCCUUGUAGCCUGGCCUGGGGGGAAAGCCUGAUGAGUUCAGAGUUUAUGGGGUUGUAUAGACACCUCAUCAUAUCAAGCAAGCUAAAGAAAGGGUAAAUAGAAGAAACCAAUAUUUAUUGAUUACAUAUUAGGUCAGACCAUAUAAAAUUUCCAUUCUUGUAGGUGAAAAAUGAUAGAAAAUUGGCAAUUUCAUAUGGUUCAACCUGGGUAAAAGUCACCUUUUUAUAGACAUCAGAAACACUUAAUUGGAUCAAUCAGUCUCAUUCAUGGCAUACUCUCAUCAUUGGCCCAAACAGGCACCCUUUUGUCUAUCAACCUUUUUCCAUCUUUCAUAUAUGGGCAGUGAGAACAAUGGGCUCAAGCAUAACGAUUGUGAGGAUGACACAGGACUGGGCAGUGGUUCAUCCUGUUGUACAUAAUAGGGUCACUAUGAGUUGGAACCAACUGGAUGACACUCAACAACAACAUAAAUGGACACCCGAGAACUAGAACAUCAACGCUACCUUCCAUCUGCCUGUGUUCUCUCCCUAUCAUGCCUUCCUUCCCCUCCAAAAUUAACCACUGUCUUCAAUGUCAUCUAUAUCAUUCCUCUGAUUCUUUCUUGUUUUAUCAAGUAUUUAAGUAUACUAACCAAGAUAUUGUUUAGUUUUUGAACUUCAUAACAAGGCUAUAAUGCUAAUGUAGUAAUAUUCUCAGAUUUGCUUUUCUCAAUCAAGUUUUUAAUACUAAAAUGAACUGUAGUCAUUCAAGUGCUGUAUGAUAUUCCAUUGUGUGAUACACAGUGAAAUGUAUUUUUUUGUAUGUCACUUUAUUUAAUCUCCAGAGCAACCCUAAAACUGGUGUUUAAUAUUGAUCUUCAUAUUUAAAGUGAAUUGGUUAAGCACAUGGUAUCUGGAUUAAGGCUUGAGUCUCAACUCUACCACUUUCUAGGCAAAUUUCUUAACCUCUCUACAAGUUUCAGUUUCCUCUUCAGUAAAAUACAGGUUAAAAAAAAAUAUUUGCCUCAGGGAAUUGUUGUGAUUACCUCCUGCAUAUUACCUAGCACAUUGUUGUUGUUAGGUGCCUUUGAGUUGGUUCUGACUCGUAGCAACCGGAUGCACAAUGGAAAGAAACAUUGCCCAGUCCUGUGCCAUCUCACAAUUGUUGCUAUGUUUGAGCCCAUUGUUGCAGCCACUGUGUUAAUCCAUCUUAUUGAGGGUCUUCCUCUUUUUCGCUGACCCUCUACUUUACCAAGCAUGACGUCCUUCUUCAGGGACUGAUCCCUCCUGAUAACAUGUCCAGCCUAGCAUAUGGUGAGCAUAAAUCAUGUGAGUUAAGGUUUAUUAAAAUGAGUAAACCAAGACAUGGAGAAUUUAAGGAACUUGCUGAAGAUCACAUAGUUGUAGUGGCAAAGCCAGGACUUGAACUGAUCUCUACACAAACAAAAGGUCAUGUUCUUUCCUUUGUAUCAUAAAAGCUGUCCAGAAACAGCGUGGCAUAGUGACAUGUGUGAAACAAUUACCGGUAUUGUUGAAUAUUAACUCUUGUUCAGUAAAUAUAGUAAAACCUGCUACAGCUUAUCAGUGUAUUAUUGUGUACUUUUUUUUUUUUUCAAGAGGAAAGUGUGCAUAUUUAAAAUAUAAUUCACUGGUCUCUUCUCCACAAGCCACGGAAUGUCCCCCUGCUUGCUUCAUUGCCCCCAUACAGGCUGUUUAAGAACUAAACAUUUCUUUUUGGAGCAGUUUUUGGGAGAAGAACAUUUUCAAAUUUAUGAGGCUCAAAUACAUUUUGAGUGGAGAUUUUCAUAUUCCACCUAUUUCCUUCUUCGAGUCUUUCUGUUUAAGUAUCUGUUUAAAAAUACAACUCAUCUAUCUGGAGCAGAAGGGUUAUAAACCAUGAGCUCCACGUCUCUUGAGACUUACAGUCACUGUACAGAGGAAGUAUAAAGAAAACCAAAGAAAUGUAGCUUAUAUUUGGCUUGGAACAUAGCAUGAUUCCAGGAUAGGAUUCUGGAAUGUUGUACCUAUUAGUAGAUUGAAUACUCUGGCAGAAAAAUGUUAUCAUUUACCAAAACUUACUUCCUCUUAAAAAUAAUCACGUGCUUGCUGAGAUUGCAUCUUUAAAACAGGCAUCCUCAAUGUAUUUGGUUCCUUUUAUUGCCUUUAACCAGAUAACUCAUUUUUAAAAAAUUAUAUUGACAUGUCAUUUUUUGCAUUUUUGGUAAGAAUAUAUGAUAACUUUGGUAUUCUUUCUCAUUUUUGUUUCCUUUUGUUAUUGUUGUUAAACCAAAAAACCAAACCCAUUGCCAUCGAGUGAAUUCCGACUCACAGUGACCCUAUAGGACAGAGAUGAAUUGCCCCAUAGGGUUUCCGAAGAGCAGCUGGUGGAUUCAAACUGCCGACCUUCUAUAGUUAGCAGCCAUAGCUCCCCAUAGCUCUUAACCACUGCACCACCAGGGCUCCGUUAUUGUUGUUAGUUGCCAUCAAGUCAAUUCCAGCCCACGGUUACUCCAUGUGUGCAGAGUAGAACUGCUCCACAGGGUUUUCAAGGCUCUGACCUUUCAGAAGCAGAUCGUCAGGCCUGUCUUCCAAAGUGUCUCUGGGGGGUUCAAACCGCCAACCUCUAGGCUGGUAGUCGAGCACUUUACCAUUUAUGCCACCCAGGGACUCCCUAUAUAACUUUGAAAGUUUAAAUGUAAUAUAUUUAGGAUCCAGGAAUAAUCCCCCAAAUCCCUGAGAAACGUAAUUCAGAGGAUCAGUUAUAUGAUUGUCUUUUUAAAGACCUCCAGAACUAGAUCUAACUGAAAGUCUACUUUUAAAUGCUUUCUUCCCCUACCUAUUUAAAAAGAAUGAUUUUUUUCCAGCAAACCAAAGACAAUUCUUGGCAAUGACAUAAUUGUUGACUGUUAGGUGCUGUCGAUUCCAACUAAAGAGAACAUGAUCUUUUUCAGCAAACCAAAGACAAGUCUCGGCAAUGUCAAAAUUGCUUAUUGUUAGGUGCUGUCAGAUCAAUUCUCAUAGGGACCCCAUGUUAGAGUAGAGCUGACCCAUAGGGUUUCCUAGGCUGUCAUCUUUACAGGAGCAGCUCACCAGGUCUUUUCUUCUAGAGCCACUGGUGUGUUCAAACCACCUAUCCCUUUCAGUUAGCAUCUGAGCACUUAGCUGUUGCACCACCAGGGCUCCUAAUUGUUGACUAGGGGACAGUAAAUAAAUGGACUGUGUGACAUUCAUGUUCAUUUUCCACUUUGAUUUCUGCACUUGCUUGCACCUGAGAGACACCUGGAAGGACUUGAGUACUCAGCAACACAGUCAAGGAGACCUGGGUAUAAUCAUCUGUAUAUAAAACCCUGGUGUCAAUAUUGAGGUUAUUGGGUUGUAUGGAAUUGCUUGGAGAAAGUUCCCUUGCCCUUGAAACCAUUCCCAAGCAUACCUGCAACUCUCUGAAUUUUGUUUCAGCUUUAAAUACCUGAAAUUUACAACUCCAAGCUUUUAAGGCUACCAAUAGAACAUACCUGAGCUAUUAUCCUCUGUAUCUCAGUAACCCUCCCCACAUCAUAUCAUUCAGGUAAGCU